GUGCUUGCUUUGGCAGCACAUACACUAAAAUUAGAAUGACACAGAGAAGAUUCAUAUGGCCCCUGUGCAAGAAUGACAUGCAAAUUUUUGAAGUGUUCCAUAUUUUU